rnacentral:rRNA from 1 species
UGGGGAAUAUUGCACAAUGGACGGAAGUCUGAUGCAGCAACGCCGCGUGCGGGAUGACGGCCUUCGGGUUGUAAACCGCUUUUUCUCAUGACGAAGUUUUUUGACGGUAGUGGGGGAAGAAGCACCGGCUAACUACGUGCCAGCAGCCGCGGUGAUACGUAGGGUGCGAGCGUUGUCCGGAAUUAUUGGGCGUAAAGAGCUUGUAGGCGGUUUGUCGCGUCGAUAGUGCAAACUCAGUGCUUAACGCUGAGCCUGCUGUUGAUACGGGCAGACUAGAGGAAGGUAGGGGAGAAUGGAAUUCCCGGUGGAGCGGUGGAAUGCGCAGAUAUCGGGAGGAACACCGGUGGCGAAGGCGGUUCUCUGGGCAUUUACUGACGCUGAGAAGCGAAAGCGUGGGGAGCGAACAGG